CUACGGGAGGCAGCAGUGGGGAAUAUUGCACAAUGGGCGCAAGCCUGAUGCAGCCAUGCCGCGUGUAUGAAGAAGGCCUUCGGGUUGUAAAGUACUUUCAGCAGUGAGGAAGGCGGGUACGUUAAUAGCGUGCUUGUUUGACGUUAGCUGCAGAAGAAGCACCGGCUAACUCCGUGCCAGCAGCCGCGGUAAUACGGAGGGUGCGAGCGUUAAUCGGAAUUACUGGGCGUAAAGCGCAUGCAGGUGGUUUGUUAAGUCAGAUGUGAAAGCCCGGGGCUCAACCUCGGAAUAGCAUUUGAAACUGGCAGACUAGAGUACUGUAGAGGGGGUAGAAUUUCAGGUGUAGCGGUGAAAUGCGUAGAGAUCUGAAGGAAUACCAGUGGCGAAGGCGGCCCCCUGGACAAAGACUGACGCUCAGAUGCGAAAGCGUGGGGAGCAAACAGGAUUAGAUACCCUGGUAG
rnacentral:rRNA from 1 species